AGAAAUUUAAGUUAACUAAACUAAAAGCCUUCAAAGCUUUAAAUAGAAGUUAAAAUCUUCUAAUUUCUG
ensembl:Mt_tRNA